UGAGUGGGGCGUGCUAGGGGGUGAGAGGGUGCAGAGAGAGGGAGGGAGGGGGCUAGGUCUAGCCCUAGCCCCACGAGUGCGGGCGGGGUGGCAGCAGCGGGGGCAGGAGCGGGCCUCGGAGGCGGCCGCGUGUGGCAGCGGCGGAGCAGGGCGGUCACGAACCGGCCUCGGCGGGGCAGCGGUCUCGUGGAGGAACAGGAGAAGGGGCGGCCUAGCGGGGCUCGGGCCUCAGCGAGCUGGGGCUGCGGCCGUGGAGGGGGCUUGCCGCAGCACGGGGGUAGCGGCCGCUCUGACGGCGGUGGAGGGGCUCGGGUGACGGAAGGGGGACGUCGAGGGGAUGAUGCUCUGACUUCGGCGACGACCACGGGCUAGCUGAUGCAACAACUACUGGGGAGGAAGAACGGUCUCGUUGGUCGUUGGUCUACGACCUCGGGUCCUCGGUCUGCGGUGGCAACUGCUGCUGAGGAUGAUGUGGCCUCCACGGAUGAUGAUGCACGUCCGGCGACUGCUGCUGGUCCUCAUCAAUCCUCCUAGGUCCGUCCUCCGGACGCGGAGAAAGCUAGACAUAGGGUCAAACACGAUCGGUAGAAUACCGUUGAACAAAUUGAAUACAAGCAUGAGUCUAUAACAACGAAGGCGACUGAGCAGAUACUAGCUCGUGAACAUAAGCUCGGGAGCUCCGGGGACCGAACAUAAUACUACAAACACACUGAAUAAAUACAAAAUCUCAACACAACACUAUAGAAGGGCACUCAGGGACUAGAACUAGCAUGUACAAACGCACGUACUAAUCACAUACUAACUUAGCCCCCGCAGUGUGAUCCAUACUCCUUUGUUGUAGCUGAAGACCGAACUUCUUCUUUCCUCCCACGUUGUAGCUCGGAGGAGGUGUCUAGUUGUUACUUAUGUAGCUCUUCCGGGACUGGGUUGAGUUCCCUCGUCAAUACCUUCAACCCAUAGAAGAUUUUACAUAAGAAUACCAACAAUAAAGAA
rnacentral:rRNA from 1 species